rnacentral:rRNA from 1 species
CGCAGCCGCGGUAAUUCCAGCUCCAAUAGCGUAUAUUAAAGUUGUUGCAGUUAAAAAGCUCGUAGUUGAAUUUCGGAGUUUAUCGGUUGGUCGGGCUUCACUGUCCGCACUGACCUGAUUGAUUCCUACCUUCUGAAUAACCAGCAUGCUAUUAAGUUAGUGCGUUGGGGAGGCAGAGCUAUUACCUUGAAAAAUUAGAGUGCUUAAAGCAGGCUUAUGCUUGAAUAGAUUAGCAUGGAAUAAUAAAAUAGGACGGCAUGGUUCUAUUUUGUUGGUUUCUAGGAUCACCGUAAUGAUUAAUAGGGAUAGUUGGGGCAUUAGUAUUCAAUUGUCAGAGGUGAAAUUCUUGGAUUUAUUGAAGACUAACUUCUGCGAAAGCAUUUGCCAAGGAUGUUUUCAUUAAUCAAGAACGAAAGUUAGGGGAUCGAAGACGAUCAGAUACCGUCGUAGUCUUAACCAUAAACUAU